UACAGAGGGGGCAAGCGUUGUUCGGAAUUACUGGGCGUAAAGGGCGCGUAGGCGGCCCGCUAAGUCGAACGUGAAAUCCCCGAGCUCAACUCGGGAACUGCGUCCGAUACGGGCGGGCUUGAAUCCGGGAGAGGGAUGCGGAAUUCCAGGUGUAGCGGUGAAAUGCGUAGAUAUCGCUUGGAACGCCAAAGGUGAAAACAGGUUGCUGGGGUUGUGCCGACGCUGAGACACGAAAGCCAGGGGAGCAAACGGG
rnacentral:rRNA from 1 species